CCUAUAGUGGUCCUUUAAGUUGACAACGAGAUGUCAAGGUAAUUGUGACUGAACAUCAGACAAUAUUUUUGAGUAAAAGUACUAAACCAUGAUACGUUUUACCCAUUUAACACUAGCAUUAAGGUAUAUAGAGGCUACUAAGCCCUCUAAUCAGAUGUAUCAGUGCUCCUGUAUGUGAGCGCAGAGAAAUGGUUCGCUGACCAGCCAAAAUAUGGAGUGCUGCCAAAAUAUUGCAACAAUUGUAAC